rnacentral:misc_RNA from 1 species
UCGCGGGUGACUGCGAAUCUGAAGGAAGCUCGGGGCAAAAUGUUGGCCUGACGAACAGGAAGCGGGUGUGGCUCGGGCAUUUACGCGCAGGCCACACAUUUCAAUGUAAUGCCAUUCGCUAACCCCCCAUAAGCGCUGACACACUCGCGAAAACC